CCUGGUAGUCCACGCCGUAAACGAUGAUAACUAGCUGUCCGGGCUCAUGGAGCUUGGGUGGCGCAGCUAACGCAUUAAGUUAUCCGCCUGGGGAGUACGGUCGCAAGAUUAAAACUCAAAGGAAUUGACGGGGGCCUGCACAAGCGGUGGAGCAUGUGGUUUAAUUCGAAGCAACGCGCAGAACCUUACCAGCCUUUGACAUCCUAGGACGACUUCUGGAGACAGAUUUCUUCCCUUCGGGGACCUAGUGACAGGUGCUGCAUGGCUGUCGUCAGCUCGUGUCGUGAGAUGUUGGGUUAAGUCCCGCAACGAGCGCAACCCUCGUCCUUAGUUGCCAUCAUUUAGUUGGGCACUUUAAGGAAACUGCCGGUGAUAAGCCGGAGGAAGGUGGGGAUGACGUCAAGUCCUCAUGGCCCUUACAGGCUGGGCUACACACGUGCUACAAUGGCAUCUACAGUGAGCAGCGAUCCCGCGAGGGUUAGCUAAUCUCCAAAAGAUGUCUCAGUUCGGAUUGUUCUCUGCAACUCGAGAGCAUGAAGGCGGAAUCGCUAGUAAUCGCGGAUCAGCAUGCCGCGGUGAAUACGUUCCCAGGCCUUGUACACACCGCCCGUCACACCAUGGGAGUUGGAUUCACCCGAAGGCGGUGCGCUAACCUUUUAGGAGGCAGCCGACCACGGUGGGUUCAGCGACUGGGGUGAAGUCGUAACAAGGUAACCAAGGGCGAAUAUA
rnacentral:rRNA from 1 species